AGCUCCAAUAGCGUAUAUUAAUGUUGUUGCAGUUAAAAAGCUCGUAGUUGGAUUUCUGCCGGGAGCGCUUGGUCCGCCCCUCACGGGGUGUGCACUUUGGCGUCUUUCGGCAUCCUUGGCGAGAGCUUUCUGGGCAUUAGUUUGUUCGGGGAGGGAUCGCCAUCAUUUACUGUGAAAAAAUUAGAGUGUUUAAAGCAGGCGUUUGCUGUGAAUACAUUAGCAUGGAAUAAUAAGAUAGGACUUUGGUACUAUUUUGUUGGUUUGUAUACCGAGGUAAUGAUUAAUAGGGACAGUUGGGGGUAUUCGUAUUUAAUUGUCAGAGGUGAAAUUCUUGGAUUUAUGAAAGACGAACUACUGCGAAAGCAUUUACCAAGGAUGUUUUCA
rnacentral:rRNA from 1 species